GACGUAGGAGGCGAGCGUUAUCCGGAUUCACUGGGCGUAAAGCGCAAGUAGGCGGUUGUGAAAGUCCGUUGUUAAAGCCCCUGGCUCAACUGGGGGAGGUCAAUGGAGACUUUAUGACUUGAGGGCAACAGAGGCAUGUGGAACUCCCGGUGUAGCGGUGGAAUGCGUAGAGAUCGGAAAGAACACCAACGGCGAAAGCACUCUGCUGGGCCGACACUGACACUGAGAGACGAAAGCUAGGGGAGCGAAUGGG
rnacentral:rRNA from 1 species